rnacentral:rRNA from 1 species
GAUGAACGCUAGCGGGAGGCCUAACACAUGCAAGCCGAGCGGUAUUGUUUCUUCGGAAAUGAGAGAGCGGCGUACGGGUGCGGAACACGUGUGCAACCUGCCUUUAUCUGGGGGAUAGCCUUUCGAAAGGAAGAUUAAUACUCCAUAAUAUAUUGAACGGCAUCGUUUAAUAUUGAAAGCUCCGGCGGAUAGAGAUGGGCACGCGCAAGAUUAGCUAGUUGGUGAGGUAACGGCUCACCAAGGCGAUGAUCUUUAGGGGGCCUGAGAGGGUGAUCCCCCACACUGGUACUGAGACACGGACCAGACUCCUACGGGAGGCAGCAGUGAGGAAUAUUGGUCAAUGGGUGCAAGCCUGAACCAGCCAUCCCGCGUGAAGGACGACUGCCCUAUGGGUUGUAAACUUCUUUUGUAUAGGGAUAAACCUACCCUCGUGAGGGUAGCUGAAGGUACUAUACGAAUAAGCACC